UUGGCGUCCCAGAGCUCUGGAGUUGCCUACCCUUCCUGUAAGGGCAAUCGGACCCUUUCCGGUGAGGGAACCUUUCUCCAGACGAGAUCAAGAGAAACUUGCGAGGGACUGACUUGAUCUUGCUUACCUUGGGUCACCGAAAGGAUUUGGUUGGUUUGUUCUUUCUCUACCCCAAGAAAAAGUCGCUAGCUACUACAAGGUUUUGUUUUCAACCGAGAAACACUAUGCCAAAUGAAAGUGCUGUUGCUUACCUGAUGACUGGAGCAAGAGAGUAAUAUUCUUACAGAAAACUACUUAAAGUAUCCCCUCGAUUCUGAUAAACACUGCGCGCGAAGUUUUACACUUUUUAAACCACGAGGCUGUUUCCCCCUUCUGAAAUGGUCAACAAGCUGUAUCUUCUCCAUUCCUGUAGGAUAAGUUGGAACUCUGUUUUAAAAUUCUGCCAAAACAUUUUUAAAGUUCUUAACUUUAAGUUUUAAAGUUAUUCAUUGAAAUUUGGAUAAGAAAUGAUAGUUUUGGUUUGAUUUGUCUUUGAAGUGUUAUUUUCUGGUAUACUUUAACUAUGUAUCUAUUCAAGGCUCGCCUGGAAUUCCAUGUCAGUCUUCCUGCCUCAGCUUCCCUGGUGCUCACGUGGCAGGCAUAAGUCUUUUUCCACUGCUUUGAGACUACAAUUGUUUUAAUGUAUAACUUUAACUCUUAGCACAGCGCUGCCUUGCUGUGUUGGGUAGGUAAAAUGUUCAGUGAUCAAAAGGAUUUGUAUAAUAAUUGACAGUUUAAGUAAACUGGUUCACUUCCCCAAUUUCUCUUAGCAUCCUGUUGUCAGGAUGUUACUUUGAACAGAAUUCGUAGAAACAAAACCUGAUGGGAAAACAAAUACUAUUUGAAUUGUGUACGUUAUUUGAAGUGGGAGUUUGGUUUUCUGACUCAGGGAGCUCAGCCAUUACCACACUGGGCAUAGAAUUCGAUGUAAUUCAAUGCAUAAACUUAGCAUAUCCUUAGUAACUUUCUGCCCAUUUCUUUUAUUCAGUAAUUAAUAACAACACAAGGUAAGUGUAAAAUGCUAUACUUAUCUUUGGUAUAAUAAGUUUCUGAAAGUAGAUAAAAGAAAUAUCAAGCCUCAAGAAAUCAUUGUAAGGUGUCUACUGAAAUACUAAUGUUUAUAGUUCAAUAUAAUUAACAGCUAACCCUUACCAAGCCAUUACCACAUAUUUUACCUGCUGUAACUCAUUUAAUCCUUACAGUGACCUAGGAGAUAGUUUAUAUUUUUCUCUAUCAUACCAAUAUUAAAAAGGACUACUAUAUGACUCAGAGCAAUUAUAUGAUAUUGUUUUUCUUAUAUGUAAAUGAUAAUAAUAAAUAAUAUUCACCAUGUUUACUAACACACAUUUUUUUGUGGAAGUCAUAUGAGAAUAUAUCUCUGUUUUAUUCAAAAGGCAUGUGACAUAAUUAUCCCAGCGAUCACUAAAACUGUAAAUUUGGAUGCAAUUAAGAAAGAAAACUCCACACAUUAUAGAAAUUUAAGGGCCUUGUAGAAGAAGGGCAAUGAACAAGGGUAUGAUCUUGAAGAAGGCAUUGGAACUCAAGAUGCUCCCUUCCACUAUCUCUGCUUCCUAGUCUUCUCCAGAAUGUCUGCACUGAUAUUCAUUCAAACCUUCUACUUUGGGAUUCCAACAGACUGAAGAUCAGCUUCUGGCCAGGACUCGAGUGCCACAUUGGGGCUACUGAGAUACUGAGCCUUGUUGGUUGAACAAAUACCAGAUUCUUGGUCUUUCCAUCAUGAACUAGUCAUUAAUGGCCUAUCCAGUUAGACUACAUCUGGUGAGUCCUGGGAAUCAACAACAUUGUCAGGCUUGGAAGCAAGUGCCGUUACCCACUGAGCUAUCUCACCAGCCCUAAAAUCUGAAAGUCCAGUACUCAUCAACCCCAGGGAAUGGAGCUGCCUACUUUUAAGGGAUGGAAGAGACUUCUGGAAAAGUGAAGUGAUUGUUACACAGUAAUGAGAGAUAUUGAAUAUGUACUAUGUGCCAGACAGGAUGAUAAUGAAAAUUAAAAGAAUUUUAAAGGAAAAGCUAAAAACAAUAUGUAGAGAAAUGCAACAAAGGAGGAUGGAAAAUGUAUUGGAAUCAGAACAAAGUUUCUCUACAGAUUUUCCAAGAAGUUCAAUUGUGGUCUAAGUAAAACAGCCAGAAGCUGGAAACAACCCAGAUGUCCCACAACAGAAGAAUGGAUAUGG